rnacentral:rRNA from 2 species
AGAGUUUGAUCAUGGCUCAGGAUGAACGCUGGCGGCGUGCCUAAUACAUGCAAGUCGAGCGAACAGACGAGGAGCUUGCUCCUCUGACGUUAGCGGCGGACGGGUGAGUAACACGUGGAUAACCUACCUAUAAGACUGGGAUAACUUCGGGAAACCGGAGCUAAUACCGGAUAAUAUAUUGAACCGCAUGGUUCAAUAGUGAAAGACGGUUUUGCUGUCACUUAUAGAUGGAUCCGCGCCGCAUUAGCUAGUUGGUAAGGUAACGGCUUACCAAGGCAACAAUGCGUAGCCGACCUGAGAGGGUGAUCGGCCACACUGGAACUGAGACACGGUCCAGACUCCUACGGGAGGCAGCAGUAGGGAAUCUUCCGCAAUGGGCGAAAGCCUGACGGAGCAACGCCGCGUGAGUGAUGAAGGUCUUCGGAUCGUAAAACUCUGUUAUUAGGGAAGAACAAAUGUGUAAGUAACUAUGCACGUCUUGACGGUACCUAAUCAGAAAGCCACGGCUAACUACGUGCCAGCAGCCGCGGUAAUACGUAGGUGGCAAGCGUUAUCCGGAAUUAUUGGGCGUAAAGCGCGCGUAGGCGGUUUUUUAAGUCUGAUGUGAAAGCCCACGGCUCAACCGUGGAGGGUCAUUGGAAACUGGAAAACUU